CAGCAGCCACGGGAAUACCAGCACCUCGAGUGGUCAGGAGGUUUAUUGGGCCUAAAGCAUCCGUAGCCGGUUGCAUAAGUUUUCGGUUAAAUCUAUGCGCUUAACGUAUAGGCCGCCGAAAAUACUGUGCAGCUAGGGAGUGGGAGAGGUACACGGUACUCGAUAGGAAGGGGUAAAAUCCUUUGAUCUAUUGAUGACCACCUGUGGCGAAGGCGGUGUACCAGAACACGUUCGACGGUGAGGGAUGAAAGCUGGGGGAGCAAACCGGAUUAGAUACCCCGGUAGUCCCUGUCUCUUAUAC
rnacentral:rRNA from 1 species